rnacentral:rRNA from 1 species
UAAUACGGAGGGUGCAAGCGUUAUCCGGAUUCACUGGGUUUAAAGGGAGCGUAGGUGGGCUAGUAAGUCAGUGGUGAAAUCUCCGAGCUUAACUUGGAAACUGCCAUUGAUACUAUUGGUCUUGAAUAUUGUGGAGGUUAGCGGAAUAUGUCAUGUAGCGGUGAAAUGCAUAGAUAUGACAUAGAACACCAAUUGCGAAGGCAGCUGGCUACACAUAUAUUGACACUGAGGCUCGAAAGCGUGGGGAUCAAACAGGAUUAGAUACCCUGGUAGUCCACGCCCUAAACUAUGGAUACUCGACAUUUGUGAUACACAAUAAGUGUCUGAGCGAAAGCAUUAAGUAUCCCACCUGGGAAGUACGAUCGCAAGAUUGAAACUUAAAUGAAUUGACGG